UACGGGGGGGGCAAGCGUUGUUCGGAAUUACUGGGCGUAAAGGGCGCGUAGGCGGCCUUCUAAGUCGGACGUGAAAUCCCUCGGCUUAACCGAGGAACUGCGUCCGAUACUGAAAGGCUUGAAUCCGGGAGAGGGAUGUGGAAUUCCAGGUGUAGCGGUGAAAUGCGUUGAUAUUAUGGAGAACACCAAAAGCGAAGGCAGCAGACUGGAGCACUCCUGACACUGAAACAAGAAAGCGUGGGUCGCGAAUGGG
rnacentral:rRNA from 1 species